GGUUGUAUAGUGUAGUGGUUAGCACAUCGGAUUUUGAUAGCAUCAAAUAUCAAAGCCUUCCGAUAACCUGGGUUCGAGUCCCGGUACGACCU